rnacentral:lncRNA from 1 species
CAUUUUAAUGUUCAAUUAAUCUUUUUUUAGGCAUUUUAAAUUUAUCUUACUAGCUUAUAUUAUAUUUUAUUAGUUUUUAAUUAUUUUUAUUUUAUUAAUAAUAAUAAAAAUAAUAAUAAUAAUAAUAAAAAAACCUAAACUACCCAAACCACCCACAAUUCCCACUUCUACUUAACCUCUCCCACUCUUCCUCCACACAACCCAUGACAAAACAUACACUAUAUAAACACAUGCAAACAUACACUAUAAAAAGACAUGCACACAUGCACUUAGAAAAAACACACACACACGAAAAAGAAAGAAAAGAAAAAACAUAUAUUAAACACACACACACGGAAGAACGAAAAAAAAAAACAGAAGAGAAAAAGAAAGAAAAAAAAAAAGAAAAAUCAAAGGAGAAGAGGAGAAGAAAUUUGGGUUUG